rnacentral:rRNA from 1 species
UACAGAGGUCCCAAGCGUUGUUCGGACUCACUGGGCGUAAAGGGUGCGUAGGUGGUCAGGUAAGUCUGAUGUGAAAUCUCUGGGCUCAACCCAGAAACUGCAUUGGAUACUAUCUGGCUAGAGGAGUGGAGGGGGGACUGGAAUACUUGGUGUAGCAGUGAAAUGCGUAGAUAUCAAGUGGAACACCAGUGGCGAAGGCGAGUCCCUGGACACUUCCUGACACUGAGGCACGAAAGCUAGGGGAGCAAACAGG